CUACUGGGGUAUCUAAUCCUGUUUGCUCCCCAUGCUUUCGCGCCUCAGCGUCAGUUUCAGCCCAGUAAACCGUCUUCACCACCGGUGUUCUUCCACAUAUCUACGCAUUUCACCGCUACACGUGGAAUUCCGUUUACCCUAACUGAACUCUAGUCUUGCAGUUUCAAACGCCGCUCCGGGGUUGAGCCCCGGAAUUUCACGUCUGACUUAUAAGACCGCCUACGCGCCCUUUACGCCCAGUAAUUCCGAUCAAUGCUUGCACCCUCCGUAUUACCGCGGCUGCUGGCAC
rnacentral:rRNA from 1 species